GGGAAUAUCGUAUAAUAGGUAGUACAAUAAUAUUGCAUGUUAUGAAUUUGAGUUCGAUUCUCAAUAUUUCCA
rnacentral:tRNA from 1 species